AGCGAACGCUGGCGGCAGGCCUAACACAUGCAAGUCGAACGAACUCUUCGGAGUUAGUGGCGGACGUGUGAGUAACACGUGGGAACGUGCCUUUUGGUUCUGAAUAACUCAGGGAAACUUGUUCUAAUACCGAAUGUGCCCUUCGGGGGAAAGAUUUAUCGCCAUUAGAGCGGCCCGCGUCUGAUUAGCUAGUUGGUGAGGUAACGGCUCACCAAGGCGACGAUCAGUAGCUGGUCUGAGAGGAUGACCAGCCACACUGGGACUGAGACACGGCCCAGACUCCUGCGGGAGGCAGCAGUAGGGAAUCCUGCGCAAUGGGCGAAAGCCUGACGCAGCCAUGCCGCGUGCAUGCUGAAGGUCUUAGGAUUGUAAAAUUCUUUCACCGGGGACGAUAAUGACGGUACCCGGAGAAGAAGCCCCGGCUAACUUCGUG
rnacentral:rRNA from 1 species